rnacentral:rRNA from 1 species
UCGAUUCCCUUAGUAGCGGCGAGCGAAACGGGAAGAGCCCAAACCAACAAGCUUGCUUGUUGGGGUUGUAGGACACUCUAUACGGAGUUACAAAGGACGACAUUAGACGAAUCAUCUGGAAAGAUGAAUCAAAGAAGGUAAUAAUCCUGUAGUCGAAAAUGUUGUCUCUCUUGAGUGGAUCCUGAGUACGACGGAGCACGUGAAAUUCCGUCGGAAUCUGGGAGGACCAUCUCCUAAGGCUAAAUACUCUCUAGUGACCGAUAGUGAACCAGUACCGUGAGGGAAAGGUGAAAAGCACCCCGGAAGGGGAGUGAAAUAGAACCUGAAACCGUGUGCUUACAAGUAGUCAGAGCCCGUUAAUGGGUGAUGGCGUGCCUUUUGUAGAAUGAACCGGCGAGUUACGAUUUGAUGCAAGGUUAAGCAGUAAAUGUGGAGCCGUAGCGAAAGCGAGUCUGAAUAGGGCGUUUAGUAUUUGGUCGUAGACCCGAAACCAGGUGAUCUACCCUUGGUCAGGUUGAAGUUCAGGUAACACUGAAUGGAGGACCGAACCGACUUACGUUGAAAAGUGAGCGGAUGAACUGAGGGUAGCGGAGAAAUUCCAAUCGAACCUGGAGAUAGCUGGUUCUCUCCGAAAUAGCUUUAGGGCUAGCCUCAAGUGAUGAUUAUUGGAGGUAGAGCACU